ensembl:lncRNA LINC01409 long intergenic non-protein coding RNA 1409
AAUCAGAACUCGCGGUGGGGGCUGCUGGUUCUUCCAGGAGCGCGCAUGAGCGGACGCUGCCUACUGGUGGCCGGGCGGGAUGUAACCGGCUGCUGAGCUGGCAGUUCUGUGUCGCUAGGCUUCUGCCCGGCCGCCGCCGCACAUAAGCCACGAGGAGGAGCUUUACGACUUCCCGGUCUUCGGCGCCGGGCGCAGCAAGGGCCAGACUCUGCGCUAGCAGGCGCUGCGCGCCAACCGGCCGGCACCUGUCGCAGAAGGUGCAACCGAUCGCACUGUCGCGCAGAAGCUCCUCAAUGGCCAGCGCCAGCUGCAGCCCCGGCCGCCCACUCGCCUCAUCUGAGCCUGGAGGUAACUUUGCUGAACUUGUGAAGAAUGGUGUGCAAGGUCCAGAGCGACUGCAGGAGAGGGAAGGUGGGAUUCCCACAGAGCAGGAGCACAGAUAAGCCAAGCAAGGCCCUGCUUGGAAGGCAGCAAUCAACAGAGAUGCACAGACCUGUGAGGGUGCCGGGACAGCCAUGCAACAAUGCAGCCCUUUUGCUUCCUGAGCUCACCAGUUCCCUCGCUCCACCUCUGAGAGGUGGUUUGGAGAAACACAGCCCUUCUCAAGAGGGCUGCAAGCUACUUAAGUCCUGAAAAUUUCCACAAGGCUGAGUCAAAUCUGCGUUUCAUCAUCUAUAAGAAAGGUACCUAUCGAGAACACCCUGCUGGCCAGUGUGUAAAUAUCUAAAGGAGGACUCAGAAAACACCGGGGAAGUCCAGCCUGCACGUGGUGGCUGGGCUUCAGUGAAGCAUGCAGCACAACAGGAGUUAGCAGACCACAAAGAGCAUGUCUGGACCUAGAACCACAGCAUGUAACCUCGGAAGCAGUGAGACACCAGCCAGCAUGGACAAGCAGCAGGCACUUGCUCUAUACCAGAUAUGCUGCAUGAUAGAACGCUAUGCCCUCUCACAGAUAGGUCCCACCUCCAGCCUUCCCCUGCUGCCAUCUAACAUCCUAAACUCCAGCUCUGAAUGUCUGUCUCCUGCUCUGAAUCUUCAGUGACUUCGAAACUCAAGUCAGGACACCUCUCAGUUUGGCCUCACUGCUCAAGAUUGAGCUGAAUUCAUGACCAUAAUUCAAGCAUUCAGAUUCAUGGGCUGUUUUGUGGGUUUUGCUAUCUCUUAUUUUGUUUUUGCACAUCUUACCCACUGAAACGUUGGGCUGCAAAAAGUUUGAUCACUAAAUAUGUAGGCAAUGCUGGAUACUGGGCUGUUAUUUACAUAUUUGUAUCACCUUUUAUUUCAUAAGAUAGCAUUGUCAGAGUAAUUUAGUAUUUCAACAUAAUCAACAAGUAAAAUAAAAUUAAUGAGAAUGAUCU